UGUUUCGGCUAGGGGGCCAUCCCGGCUUACCAACCCGAUGCAAACUGCGAAUACCGGAGAAUGUUAUCACGGGAGACACACGGCGGGUGCUAACGUCCGUCGUGAAGAGGGAAACAACCCAGACCGCCAGCUAAGGUCCCAAAGUCAUGGUUAAGUGGGAAACGAUGUGGGAAGGCCCAGACAGCCAGGAUGUUGGCUUAGAAGCAGCCAUCAUUUAAAGAAAGCGUAAUAGCUCACUGGUCGAGUCGGCCUGCGCGGAAGAUGUAACGGGGCUAAACCAUGCACCGAAGCUGCGGCAGCGACACUGUGUGUUGUUGGGUAGGGGAGCGUUCUGUAAGCCUGUGAAGGUGUGUCGUGAGGC
rnacentral:rRNA from 1 species